GAUGAACGCUGGCGGCGUGCUUAACACAUGCAAGUCGAACGAGAAGUGGAGACGGAAACCUUCGGGCGGAAGACUUUAUUUCUAGUGGCGGACGGGUGAGUAACGCGUGGGUAACCUGCCUCAUACAGGGGGAUAACAGUUGGAAACGACUGUUAAUACCGCAUAAGACCACAGCACCGCAUGGUGCGGGGGUAAAAACUCCGGUGGUAUGAGAUGGACCCGCGUUCGAUUAGCCAGUUGGCGGGGUAACGGCCCACCAAAGCGACGAUCGAUAGCCGAUCUGAGAGGAUGACCGGCCACAUUGGGACUGAGACACGGCCCAAACUCCUACGGGAGGCAGCAGUGGGGAAUAUUGCACAAUGGGGGAAACCCUGAUGCAGCGACGCCGCGUGAGUGAAGAAGUAUUUCGGUAUGUAAAGCUCUAUCAGCAGGGAAGAAAAUGACGGUACCUGAGUAAGAAGCCCCGGCUAACUACGUG
rnacentral:rRNA from 1 species